rnacentral:rRNA from 1 species
AAUAGAUACCCAGGUAGUCCACGCCGUAAACGAUGAGUGCUAAGUGUUAGAGGGUUUCCGCCCUUUAGUGCUGCAGCUAACGCAUUAAGCACUCCGCCUGGGGAGUACGGCCGCAAGGCUGAAACUCAAAGGAAUUGACGGGGGCCCGCACAAGCGGUGGAGCAUGUGGUUUAAUUCGAAGCAACGCGAAGAACCUUACCAGGUCUUGACAUCCUCUGCCAACCCUAGAGAUAGGGCGUUCCCCUUCGGGGGACAGAGUGACAGGUGGUGCAUGGUUGUCGUCAGCUCGUGUCGUGAGAUGUUGGGUUAAGUCCCGCAACGAGCGCAACCCUUGAUCUUAGUUGCCAGCAUUCAGUUGGGCACUCUAAGGUGACUGCCGGUGACAAACCGGAGGAAGGUGGGGAUGACGUCAAAUCAUCAUGCCCCUUAUGACCUGGGCUACACACGUGCUACAAUGGAUGGUACAAAGAGCUGCGAACCCGGCGAGGGUAAGCGAAUCUCAUAAAGCCAUUCUCAGUUCGGAUUGU